rnacentral:rRNA from 1 species
AUGCCAACGCCAUGCGUCGGAGACAUGGCCCACGGCAAGGCACACAGGAUGCACGAGUCGAAAGAAGAGCUUGUAGAGGCGGUUUGGCGAGCAAGUUACCUCGAUGAGCAGCCUCUUGUGCUGGUUGUGCACGGUGAGAACGCCGCGGCGGAUGCCGAUGUCAAAUCAACCCUCGUCGAGCUGUCCGACACUCACCACCCUACUCUUGAGUGCCGGGAUGAAGUAGACAUCUGUGAACGCCCUGUGAUCACCCCCUUUGUCAGCAAAGAUGACGGCCCCGCGCCCGUGGAUCUUCACCAUGGAUCCGUUCGCAAACCGCACCUUCCCGGUGAUUGA